UGGAAUAACCUGAGGGUGAAAAAAUAACAGAAUUUUCAUUUUUGGGUGAACUAUCCCUUUAAGCUUAUUUCGUUGCAAGUGUCCCUCUCCCUUCUCUUUGUUUUAUGUAUUUCCUGUGGAGAACCUCUGUCAGCAAGCAGAAAGAUACCGUCUGGUGGAGGACUUCUCAGUGGCAUUUGGAGGUUUCUCAGUGAUGCCUUUUGCGGAAAAAAAUCAGGAAGAGAGAAAAAAAAAUAGAGGAAAAUAAAAUCUCUUUACAUAAAUAUAUUGAAGGGUGGGGUUCUAGUUUUUGUUGUUUAUCCAAACUUUGUUUACCUAUUACUGCCAUGUCAAUAGUGUGAUGUUUGUGUUUUGGCUUAAAACUGGACCUCAAUGUUUGCAGUAUUUUUAUGCCUUUUUAUUUGAUGUGCGUAACUUAAUAUUUCGAUACUUGAUUUCUGUGCGGUAUUUGAUUAUGUGUACUGUUAAAGCACCUAUUUAUAUAAUUGGAUAUGUGUUUUAGUAUAGCAAGAGACAAGUUGCUACAAGUUUGCCAAUUUGAGAAUACAAUAAAGAUACACUGAAGGAA